GGACUACUGGGGUUUCUAAUCCCGUUUGCUACCCACGCUUUCGUGCCUUAGUGUCAGGAAUGAGCCAGUUAUCUGCCUACGCCAUCGGUGUUCCUCCUGAUAUCUACGGAUUUCACUCCUACACCAGGAAUUCCAAUAACCUCUCUCAUCCUCUAGCUGAGCAGUUUCCAUAAUGUGUAUGCGGUUGAGCCGCACGCUUUCACUACAGACUUACUCUGCCACCUACGCAACUCUUUACGCCCAGUAAUUCCGGAUAACGCUUGGAUCCUCCGUAUUACCGCGGCUGCUGGCAC
rnacentral:rRNA from 1 species